rnacentral:rRNA from 1 species
GACAGAGGGUGCAAACGUUGUUCGGAAUUACUGGGCGUAAAGCGCGUGUAGGCUGCUUCGCAAGUCGGAUGUGAAAGCCCUGGGCUCAACCCAGGAAGUGCAUUCGAAACUGCAGAGCUGGAGUCCUGGAGAGGAAGGCGGAAUUCUCGGUGUAGAGGUGAAAUUCGUAGAUAUCGGGAGGAACACCGGUGGCGAAGGCGGCGACCUGGACAGUAACUGACGCUGAGACGCGAAAGCGUGGGUAGCAAACAGG